rnacentral:rRNA from 1 species
AGUUCGAUUGUAAACCAGAUUGAACGCUGGCGGGAUGCUUUACACAUGCAAGUCGAACGGCAGCACGGACUUCGGUCUGGUUGGCGGUGGCGAACGGGUGAGUAAUGUAUCGGAACGUGCCUAGUAGCGGGGGAUAACUACGCGAAAGCGUAGCUAAUACAGCAUACGCCCUUCGGGGGAAAGCAGGGGACCUUCGGGCCUCGCACUGUUAGAGCGGCCGAUAUCGGAUUAGCUGGUUGGUGGGGUAACGGCUCACCAAGGCGACGAUCCGUGGCUGGUUUGAGAGGACGACCAGCCACUGGGACGGAACCCACGGCCCAGACUCCUACGGGAGGCAGCAGUGGGGGAAUUUUGGACAAUGAGGAAACCUGAUCCAGCCAUCCGCGUGUGCAGAUGAAGGCCUUCGGGUUGUAAAGCACUUUGGCAGGAAAGAAACGGCACGGGAUAAUACGUGCAACUGACGGUACCUGCAGAAUAAGCACCGGCUAACUACGUGCCAGCAGCCGCGGUAAUACGUAGGGUGCAAGCGUUAAUCAGAUUACUGGGCGUAAAGCAUUGCGCGAGCGGUUCCCGGAAAGAAAGAUGCUUGAAAUCCCAGGCUUAACUUUGGAACUGCAUUUAACUACCGAGCUAGAGUGUCAGAGGGAGGUGGGAUUCCGCGUGUAGCAGUGAAAUGCGUAUGAAUGCCGGAGGAACACCGAUGGCGAAGGCAGCGCUCGCGGAUAACACUGACGCUCAUGCACGAAAGCGUGGGGAGCAAACAGGAUUAGAUACCUGGUGAUCCACGCCUAAACGAUGUCAACUAGCUGUUGGGAGCCUUCGGGCCUUGGUAGCGCAGCUAACGCGCGUGAAGUUGACCGCCUGGGGUAGGUCGCAAGAUUAAAACUCAAAGGAAUUGACGGGGACCCGCACAAGCGGUGGAUGAUGUGGAUUAAUUCGAUGCAACGCGAAAACCUUACCUACCCUUGACAUGUCUGGAAUCCCGAAGAGAUUUGGGAGUGCUCGCAAGAGAACCGGAACACAGGUGCUGCAUGGCUAUCGUCAGCUCGUGUCGUGAGAUGUUGGGUUAAGUCCCGCAACGAGCGCAACCCUUGUCAUUAGUUGCUACGAAGAAGGGCACUCUAAUGAGACUGCCGGUGACAAACCGGAGGAAGGUGGGGAUGACGUCAAGUCCUCAUGGCCCGCCCUUGGGUAGGGCACCACACGUCGCGCAAUGGUCGGGACAGAGGGUCGCCAACCCCGCGAGGGAGCCAAUCCCAGAAACCCGAUCGUAGUCCGGAUCGCGGUCUACCAACUCGACUGCGUGAAGUCCAGAUCGCUAGUAAUCGCGGAUCAGCAUGUCGCGGUGAAUACGUUCCCGGGUCUUGUACACACCGCCCGUCACACCAUGGGAGUGGGUUUUGCAGAAGUAGUUAGCCUAACCGUAAGGAGGGCGAUUGCACGGUAGGAUUCAUGACUGGGGUGAAGUCGUAACAAAGUG